rnacentral:rRNA from 1 species
UACAGAGGUCUCGAGCGUUGUUCGGAUUCAUUGGGCGUAAAGGGUGCGUAGGUGGCGCUGUAAGUCGGGUGUGAAAUCUCGGGGCUUAACUCCGAAACUGCAUUCGAUACUGCCGUGCUUGAGGACUGGAGAGGAGACUGGAAUUUACGGUGUAGCAGUGAAAUGCGUAGAUAUCGUAAGGAAGACCAGUGGCGAAGGCGAGUCUCUGGACAGCAACUGACGCUGAGGCACGAAGGCCAGGGGAGCAAACGGG